GAUAAAGAAGCUCCAAUUUUAUCUUCUCCAUCUUUAGAGAUGAAGAAGAAAAAGUAUCAUGGUCUGAAUUUGGACUCACAAGUACGUGGCAAUCAUCAAGCUAUAUCAUGGAAGAGAUCUAAUUGCAGCCAUACAUUUAAGAGAUUAAAUCCUAACCAUCCACCACAGAGGAACCUAGAAGUUUCCACCAAAUCACGUGAGAAGCACAAUGCCAGCAUAGAAAGGAAUAAAAGUUGUUAUAAAAGUUACAUAGACAACCAAUAGGAUUUAGACAAAUAUAUUUGUAUUUAGAAUAUUCUUAAUUUAUUUAUUAUUUUUUAGUCUUAUAUAAGGACAUGUAUUCUGCACAGAGAAGAACAACGAGAAAAUUUCCCAAUUACUGCUCUUCAAUUUUCUACAUGGUAUCAGAGCAGCAAAUCAAUUGAUCAACCCUAAAUCUCGUUUGAGCAAUGACAGGAGAAACAACUGCCACACUCACUACCACCCAAACGAUCACUAGUAACACAUCAGUGAUUGAUCAUAAUCACCCUUAUCAUCUUCAUGCUUCUGAUGCACCUGGUAUGACUAUCGUGAAUAACCCUUUUGAUGGAAAGGGUUAUCAAGGCUGGAAGAGAUGUGUUCUUAUAGCCUUGUCAGCUAAAAACAAGCUGGGAUUUAUCACCGGAGCACAACCAAUCCCAGCUGAUGAUUCUCCAGAUCUGCAGGCUUGGAAUAGAUGCAAUGACAUGGUGACCUCGUGGAUCUUGAAUUCAUUGUCAAAGGAAAUCGUAGACAAUGUGAUUUACUCGAGAACUGUGAGAGAGCUAUGGAUGAGCUUGGAACACAGAUUUGGUCAGUCUAAUGGUGCGAAGUUGUAUCACCUGCAAAAGGAGCUCAGCAAGUUAAUUUAAGGCACAUCUAACAUUGCAGGAUACUUCACCAAAUUGAAAAGACUAUGGGAUGAACUGGAUUCCCUUAAUACUAAUGUCAAGUGCAAUUGUGUGUGCAUAUGUGAAGGGAAACAAAAGUUACAGAAAUCUUUGGAAGAUGAGAGACUCAUGCAAUUCCUUAUGGGAUUGAAUGACACUUAUUCACAAGCUAGGGGUAAUAUAUUGAUGAUCAAUCCUUUGCCUGAUAUUAAUCUUGCAUUAUUCUUUGUAUUCUUGCAGGAUGAAAACCAAAGAGAAUCUUAUGUAAAUUCUACUGUCAAUCCUGAUUCAUCUGCAUUUAUGGUUGGAAAUUCACAUCAAUAUAGAAUCUCUAAACAGGGUCAGAGAUCUAUUGCUUCUUCAAGCAAAUUUGGAAAUGUUUACCCCAGACCUGCACCUGCUGGAUCUCAACAGACACAGCUACAAGGAUUUCUCAUACAGAACCAGAAUCCAAAAUUCAAAGGCAAGAAAGCAAAUUACAACCCCAAUGUCACCUGCACUUACUGUGGGAAAACUGGACAUGUGGAACUUAAAUGUUUCAGACUCAUUGGUUUUCCAGAUGAUUUUCAGUUUACACAUGAGAAGGGUUUCAAUAAUCAGGUAAAGGGAAAUGGAGAUCAAAUUAGGGGAAAUUGAGUCAUGACUAUGGCAGAAACAGACAACAAACAGAGUUUUGGAAUAGAUAUUUCAAAUCAAAAUUACUCCCAGGAACAAUACAAUCAGUUUGUGAAGAUGUUCAAACACAUGAAGAUGGAAGAGGGUACCAACUCAGGAAUGGAGAUAAAUGCUAAUGCAGUGGCUGGUACAAUUAUUAAAUAUCUUGGUUUAUGUUUUUCUGUGACUAACUCCAGCACCUGGAUCGUAGAUUCAGGUGCUUCUGAACAUAUGUGUUUUGAUUCAACUUCUUUUAGAUCAUUAUCUUCUCUUACUCCUCCCUUGACUAUUAAUCUUCCUAAUUGUCAAACUAUUCUUGUCACUCAUAUUGGGACUGUAUCUCUAUUUUCUGAUCUCAUUUUAGAAAAUGUGUUGUACGUUCCUAGUUUCAAAUAUAAUCUUAUGUCUGUGCAUAAAUUUUGCAGUCAAUUUUCUUGCACACUGUUUUUUACUCUUAAUCAUUGUGUGUUGCAGGGCCUUUCAAUGAGGAGGCCUCAAGUUUUUGGUGAAGUUUCAGAAGGUCUUUAUCUGCUCAAGCCUAAAGUCAAAGAGUCUGUUUUCAAUUUCAGCAAGAACAAAACUGUUUUACCUUCUACAGUUUCUAAUAGUUCUUCAGUUUCUUUUCCCUAUUUCAGUAAUGCUAGUUCUUUUUCUUUACCAAAUUGUAGUAGUACUACAUCUAAUGUAAAGUUAUGGCACAUUAGAUUGGGCCAUAUACCUUUCUCAUCAAUGAAGAAUGUCAGUUUCAUUUCAAUUCAUUCUAAUUCUGAUUGUUUUUGUGACAUUUUUCCUAAGGCAAGGCAGUCAAGACCUCCUUUCCCUAUCAGUCAUAUAUUAACUAAGUCAAUUUUUUAUCUUAUUCAUAUAGAUACUUGGGGACCCUACAAAGUAUUUACACAUGAUAAUUAUAAAUACUUCCUUACCAUAGUAGAUGACUAGAGUAGAGGAACAUGGACUUACCUCUUAAGCACCAAAAACAAUGCCUUUUCAGUUUUACAAAACUUCCUUUAUAUGGUAGAAAGGCAAUUCAAUCUUAAAGUGAAGAGGAUAAGAUCAGACAAUGCAAUGGAGUUGGGCAAAAGUAUUGUAGCCAUCAAUUUUUUCAACUCACAAGGUAUUUUGCAUGAAACUUCAUGUGUUGCUACCCCUCAACAAAAUGGCGUUGUUGAAAGAAAGCAUACACAUUUACUUGAAAUAGCUUGGGCUCUUUUGUUUCAAUCUCAGGUUCCUUUAGCAUAUUGGGGGGAGUGCAUCCUUACUGCUACUUUUCUAAUAAAUAGAUUACCUACUAGAGUGCUUCAUGGACACACACCUUAUCAAAUACUUCAUGGGAAAACACCAAAUUAUGACAUUUUAAAGUGUUUUGGUUGCUUAUGUUAUGCUAGUACUAUUUCUCAUGGAAGGGGAAAAUUUGAACCAAGAGCUAAGGCUUGUGUUUUCCUUGGAUAUCCUUCAAAUCAAAAGGGUUACAAAAUCUUAGAAUUGGAUAGCCAUAAAAUAGUCAUAUCCAGAGAUGUUUCUUUCUUUGAGGCUGUAUUUCCUUUCACUGUUCCUUCUCCUAAUUCUACUUCAAUUUUCCCUUCUCCAUCUCCUGAUACUCAGUAUUCUACUGUCAUUGAUUCAUCCUUUGAUGUUUCAGUUCCUAACAUUCCUUCUCCGGAGUCCUCAGAUUCUCCAGAUUCUUUCUCUUCACCUCUAAACUGUCCUUCUCCUCAAACAUCUCUUGUAACUGAUUCUAAUUUGCCCACUGGUUCUCUCCCCUUAAGAAGAUCAGAAAGAUCGACUAAAGGGACUCUACCUGUUCAUCUUCAGGAUUAUUUUUGCAACAAUAUCUUUCUUACUCCUGUGACCGAAUCCUGUUUUGCUGCCCCUAUCACCUCUACCGGUCUAUCUCCUACUGGGAUUUCACCAUCUAAUCAGCUCUUACUAGAGUCAGUUUCCCAUAUCACAGAACCUAACAGUUACUAUUAAGCUUCUCUUCAUCCAGGUUGGUCCAAAGCUAUGCAAGAGGAGAUAACAACUCUGAGAUCAAACCACACAUGGGAUGUGGUUCACCUUCCCUCAAAUAGAAGGGCAUUACCUUGUAAGUGGGUAUACAAGGUAAAGCAUCGUGCAGAUGGUUCCAUUGAGCGACUAAAGGCAAGAUUGGUUAUUAGAGGAGACAUCCAGUGAGAGGGUAUAGAUUUCAAUGAAACAUUUUCCCCCGUGGUUAAAAUGACCACGAUCAGGUGUCUUCUAUCUGUUGCAGCUAAGAAACAAUGGCUUAUAUCACAGUUUGAUGUCAAUAACGCAUUUUUGCAAGGUGAUUUGCAAGAGGAAGUGUACAUGAAAUUCCCCCCCGGUUUAGCUCCAUCUAACUCUACUAUGGUCUGUCGACUCAGAAAGUCCUUAUAUGGUCUCAAGCAAGCUUCCCGGCAGUGGUAUGCCAAGCUUGCUGGUGCUUUGCAUUUCAAGGGAUAUACUGCAUCUCUGAAUGAUUAUUCUUUAUUUUUUAAACAUACAGGAGAUUUGGUUUCUAUUGUUGCCGUGUAUGUCGAUGACAUUCUCAUUACAGGAAAUGAUUUAAUAGAAAUUCAAAGUCUCAAAGCUUUCUUACAUGUUGAGUUCAAAAUCAAAGAUCUUGGUUUGCUUCAUUAUUUCCUAGGAAUGGAAAUUUCGCGCGAAGACAGUGGGAUCAUAAUCAGUCAACAAAAGUAUACCUUAGAUCUUCUUAAGGAGUUUGACAUUUCCCAUUUGCAUCAUGUGUCUUCACCGAUGGAUCCUUCUUGCAAAUUAACUGCAGAUUCAGGAAAGUCUAUGUCAGAUCCAACAAUUUAUCGGCAUCUUAUUGGAAAGCUUAAUUAUUUAACACACACACGUCCAGAUCUGUGCUAUGCUGUUUUGAGCCUCAGUCAGUUUAUGCAACAACCUUCUGAAAAUCAUUUUGCAGCUGCUUUAAGAGUUCUUUGUUACCUGAGAGGAUCACCUAAUCAAGGCAUUUUUUUAUCAGCUUCUCCUUCUUUCAUCAUCUCUGCUUUUUGCGAUGCGGAUUGGGCUUCUUGCCCCGACUCUCGCCGUUCAAUUAGUGGGUUCUUUAUUUGUCUGGGAGGUUCUCCGGUAUCCUGGAAAUUGAAGAAGCAAGCUUCUAUCUCUUUGUCAUCUGCAGAAGCCGAGUAUCGAUCGAUGCGUCGAUUGGUUGCCGAGUUGACUUGGUUAACUCGUCUACUUGCUGAUCUGUCUGUUCCUCCUUUGUUGCCGAUCCCUAUUCGUUCAGACAGUCAAGCGGCGAUUCAUAUUGCCAAAAAUCCCGUGUUUCAUGAACGAACGAAACACGUGGAGCUCGACUGUCAUUUCGUCAGGCAACAGUAUCUUUCUGGACUCAUUUCUCUCCAUUUCGUUCCUUCCAAGGAUCAACUUGCUGAUGUUUUCACUAAAUCUCUUUCGGGGCCUGCUCAUCAUCGGAUUCUUGGCAAGAUGGGUGUCAUUUCUCUCCCCUCCAUCUUGAGGGGGGAUGUUGAAAUUACAGAUAAAGAAGCUCCAAUUUUAUCUUCUCCAUCUUUAGAGAGAUGAAGAAGAAAAAGUAUCAUGGUCUGAAUUUGGACUCACAAGUACGUGGCAAUCAUCAAGCUAUAUCAUGGAAGAGAUCUAAUUGCAGCCAUACAUUUAAGAGAUUAAAUCCUAACCAUCCACCACAGAGGAACCUAGAAGUUUCCACCAAAUCACGUGAGAAGCACAAUGCCAGCAUAGAAAGGAAUAAAAGUUGUUAU
rnacentral:lncRNA from 1 species